rnacentral:rRNA from 1 species
AGAUUGAACGCUGGCGGCAGGCCUAACACAUGCAAGUCGAGCGGUAGAGAGGUGCUUGCACCUCUUGAGAGCGGCGGACGGGUGAGUAAUGCCUAGGAAUCUGCCUAGUGGUGGGGGAUAACGUUCGGAAACGGACGCUAAUACCGCAUACGUCCUACGGGAGAAAGCGGGGGACCUUCGGGCCUCGCGCCAUUAGAUGAGCCUAGGUCGGAUUGCUAGUUGGUGAGGUAAUGGCUCACCAAGGCGACGAUCCGUAACUGGUCUGAGAGGGAU